UACGAAGGGGGCUAGCGUUGCUCGGAAUCACUGGGCGUAAAGGGUGCGUAGGCGGGUCUUUAAGUCAGGGGUGAAAUCCUGGAGCUCAACCCCAGAACUGCCUUUGAUACUGAGGAUCUUGAGUACGGGAGAGGUGAGUGGAACUGCGAGUGUAGAGGUGAAAUUCGUAGAUAUUCGCAAGAACACCAGUGGCGAAGGCGGCUCACUGGCCCGUAACUGACGCUGAGGCACGAAAGCGUGGGGAGCAAACAGG
rnacentral:rRNA from 1 species